rnacentral:rRNA from 1 species
GUAGUUUGAUCGUGGCUCAGGAUGAACGCUGGCGGCGUGCUUAACACAUGCAAGUCGAACGAAGCGCCUUAUUUGAUUUUCUUCGGAACUGAAGAUUUGGUGACUGAGUGGCGGACGGGUGAGUAACGCGUGGGUAACCUGCCCUGUACAGGGGAUAACAAUCAGAAAUGACUGCUAAUACCGCAUAAGACCACAGCACCGCAUGGUGCAGGGGUAAAAAACUCCGGUGGUUACAGGAUUGGACCCGCGUCUUGAUUAGCUGGUUGGUGAGGUAAACGGCUCACCAAGGCGACGAUCAGUAGCCGGCUUGAGAGAGUGAACGGCCACAUUGGGACUGAGACACGGCCCAAAACUCCUAC